rnacentral:rRNA from 1 species
GAUGAACGCUGGCGGCGUGCCUAAUACAUGCAAGUCGAGCGAACAGAUAAGGAGCUUGCUCCUUUGACGUUAGCGGCGGACGGGUGAGUAACACGUGGAUAACCUACCUAUAAGACUGGGAUAACUUCGGGAAACCGGAGCUAAUACCGGAUAACAUAUUGAACCGCAUGGUUCAAUAGUGAAAGGCGGUCUUGCUGUCACUUAUAGAUGGAUCCGCGCUGCAUUAGCUAGUUGGUAAGGUAACGGCUUACCAAGGCAACGAUACGUAGCCGACCUGAGAGGGUGAUCGGCCACACUGGAACUGAGACACGGUCCAGACUCCUACGGGAGGCAGCAGUAGGGAAUCUUCCGCAAUGGGCGAAAGCCUGACGGAGCAACGCCGCGUGAGUGAUGAAGGUCUUCGGAUCGUAAAACUCUGUUAUCAGGGAAGAACAAAUGUGUAAGUAACUGUGCACAUCUUGACGGUACCUAAUCAGAAAGCCACGGCUAACUACGUG